GUCCCUGAAGUGUAACGGGUAGCGCGUUGGACUUCUAAUCCCAAGGUCGUAGAUUAAAAUCCUACCUGGGGCG